rnacentral:rRNA from 1 species
UACGUAGGUGUCGAGCGUUGUCCGGAUUUAUUGGGCGUAAAGAGCCCGCAGGCGGCUUGGCAAGUUUGAGGUGAAAUCUCCCGGCUUAACUGGGAGGGGGCCUCGAAAACUGCCAGGCUUGAGGCAUGGAGAGGGAUGCGGAAUUCCCGGUGUAGCGGUGAAAUGCGCAGAUAUCAGGAAGAACACCCGUGGCUAAGGCGGCUCUCUAGUACGGUACUGACGCUGAGACGCGAAAGCGUGGGGAGCGAACAGG